rnacentral:misc_RNA from 1 species
GUGCAUGAGUGGUGUUUGGUUUGAUACGGGUGGUCGGCUCCCUGCUUGAGCAGGCACGGCCACGCGUGCAUUCCUUUUCAGCUGUGCGACAAGGCUUGUAUCGUCUUGAUCGUAUAAGUGGGUUUCCUGUGUUGCAUACCUGAUCGAUGGCAUCGUCUUGAUCAAAAGUGUGUAUUUUUCGUCUGGCAAUGCACUUGCAUUGUCGGAUGAACCACGUAGCAUCCUCUUUGAUCCAUACAGUUGACGUGCUUUCGUUGAUUGUUUGGCCCAUUGAGCGGUGACUCGGUCUCUCGGAUAUGGAAGCCAAAGUGGGCAUGGGGUCGUAAGAUCUCUUUAUUGUCCUCACUGAGCGUUCUCACUUCUCUUACACGACCGCCUUUCACGUAUGGCACGUCUCAGCGUGUUUGGCUACGUGGAAGAGGAAUGUUGGGCGUUCUUGCUUUUCUUACACGACUGCCUUUCACGUAUGGCAUGUCCCA